CCACAGGCAGCGCUUGAAGUCAUUCAGGAGUCGGAGGCACAGCUGUGGUGGGCUGCCAAGGAGCUGCGAAGAACAAAGAAGCUUUCUGACUAUGUGGGGAAAAAUGAGAAAACCAAAAUCAUUGUCAAGAUUCAGCAGAGAGGGCAGGGUGCACCCGCCAGGGAGCCGCUCAUCAGCAGUGAGGAGCACAAGCAGCUGAUGCUGUUCUAUCACAGAAGGCAGGAGGAGCUCAAGAAACUGGAAGAGAAUGACGAUGACUCCUGUCUAAACUCCCCGUGGGCUGACAACACGGCUUUGAAAAGACAUUUUCAUGGGGUAAAAGACAUAAAGUGGCGACCCAGGUGAUGCCAGCACUUGAUGCGGCUGUCAGAACCACAGCCCACCAUCCUUGGGCAAAAUAAUCAUAAUACUAUAAAACACUAUCAAAGAUGUGGAGAUUUCUAUUUCCCUGGUUUUCCUUUUGUUUGAAUUUUUGAAAUAAGUUGUUGGUAGUUUUAGAACUCAAUAAAUAAAAAAG
rnacentral:lncRNA from 1 species